rnacentral:lncRNA from 1 species
GGGAGGCGGUGUUUGCAGUAAGUCCAGAUUGCGCCAUUGUACUCCAGCCACUAAUAGGAGAUAUCUCUGUCUGUCUACCUAUAUAUUGAGAAGGAGAUGUAUUUAUUUUAAGGAAUUGGCUCACAAGAUUUUGGAGUCUGGCAAUUCAGGAAGAGCCCAUGUUGAAGUUCAAGUUCAAAGGUCAUCUGCUGCAGGAUUCCCUUUUGCUUGGGAAAGGUCAGUCUUCUGUUCUAUGAGGCAAUCUGCUUUACUCACAGUCCACCAAUUUAAAUG